AAAGAAGGGUUAUUGGUAAGACGAGAGUUGUUAAGAGAAAUUCAAAGAGGAACGGUCGAAAGAUUCGAAAAGCGCGAGGCGAAUGAUAAGAGUCGCAAAUACAUGUGAGUUACGAGCGCGUAGUUGUAACCGAGUGAAUGUUAAGAAUCACGAGGUCUGUGCGAUAUAUCGGAACGGGAUAUUUGUGAGCCCGGAAUUUAACUGACGCUUUAGAAAUGAUACACCCGGCGAUGAUUUGUAUGUAACGAUCUACCGGUGACUUCCGGUCAUGUAACAUUUGUGUUCGUAUAACAAAGCCUGUGCUGUGAAUAUCUCGAAGCAGUGAUACUAUUCUUAGUCCGAAUAAAGCCAUUCUGUGAUUAUCAAAAUCUCAGAGCUGGAGAUAAAGAAAUAUCUUACAAUACUCUAGUUAUAUUGAGGUCACAAGAACAUCGUUGGAGUCAUUGGAAUAAUUACACGUGCCACUCGAUUGUCAGCGUAAGCAAAGCCUAGCGUGGUUAACACAUGGAGGGGUGACCGCUUGGAAUCGAAGCUAUCGACGGACGCAAGACGCGAGAAAAUUAGAAGCAUUGUUUCCAGACGCGAUGAUAGCUCACCCUCCUGUACCGAGACAUCCGCAUACUACUCUGCAACUCAGUGAAAUCUAUAUUAAGAUGAGCAGCCUAAGUUGCCACACUGAAAAAUCUGGAAAGCUGAGGAUGCCAAGCCAAUAUUAUAAAAAUUAUUAAUUUCUAGAAACUUUCGAACUUGAUAUGAAUGAUUUAUUUGGCGCAAAACCAUGGGUUCAGCCAGUAGCAGUAGUUAGUAAUACGGAUGAAUCGGAAGAGGCAUCAAAUCACCAGAGUACAGGAAGAGAGAUAAAUAAAGAGGUUUUCGUUCGUACCAAUACUAUCCCCUCCACUUUUCGGGAAAAUGAAGCUUAACCCCAUUCUUCGCACUCGCAACUGGAUGUUUGCAAACUAUUCUGGACCGGGCUUAAGAGUACUUCCCAGAGCGCAACCAACGUAACUUCAUAAUAUCAACAGAUGUUAACGAGCAGUUUAUAAAUACACGAAAUUCCAUUGAAUGAACUUAUCAGACCGUUUCCGCCCGAGGUAAACGAGGAGAAAGUUCAAAGUUUAAUGAAUGCAUUGAUAAAUAUCGAGACAGAACAGACAGUACCGCCCAUCGAUGUCUUAUGGAUUAAAGGAACUGAAGGU
rnacentral:misc_RNA from 1 species